rnacentral:rRNA from 1 species
UACGUAGGUGGCAAGCGUUGUCCGGAAUUACUGGGCGUAAAGGGCGUGUAGGCGGCGAUUUCAGUCAGAUGUGAAAGAUCAGGGCUUAACCCUGGAGGUGCAUUUGAGACUGGAUGGCUUGAGGACCGGAGAGGGCAGUGGAAUUCCCAGUGUAGCGGUGAAAUGCGUAGAUAUUGGGAGGAACACCAGUGGCGAAGGCGACUGCCUGGACGGCACCUGACGCUGAGGCGCGAAAGCUAGGGGAGCAAACGGG